AAUAAGUGUUCAAACGAAAACCCUUUCAGAGUUUAAAACUCUGAAAGGGUUUCACGGAAAGGAUUUUAA
rnacentral:sRNA from 1 species